rnacentral:lncRNA from 1 species
UUUUCCUCUUAAUGCACAUGCUUGAGCUUACUUACCCAACUCCUGAGAUCUUAUUGGGAAGCUACUUACUGGGAAGCUACACCAGUUUCAGGUGUUUCUAUCUAUCGGGAAACUGCCUUUCCCUGACACCAGCUGUAACCAGUUGAGACAGCCAGGUGGGAGGGGAGACCCUGGAGAAACUUCAACCAGCCUGCACACUGAGGUGGAGUCUCAGGAAGUUCCUGCCCUUUGAAGCAGGGAGGAGCCUGGCCCGGCCUCUUUCUAUGUGGAACCUAGAAUUGGAACCUGGAAUUUGAACUGCAGAUACAGACAACUACACAUGUCUUUCAAGAACAGUUUGCUGGGUGUUGACCAACAUCAAACUGCUUAUCCAGGAACCACUAGAAGUGAAUCUCUUCUUGAGUAUUCCAUACUGCUGCCCCUGCUAUUCACUUGGGGUCCCAGUCAGUUGUUACUAUAUAUUUGUCAUCUAUUGUGAGAGUCGUGAUAUCACCUUCCACAUCAGUGAUACUGAGAAGGAACAAAUCUGCCAAAGAUGCUUCACAGUUAGUUGUUACCUUUUUAAGAAGACUGUGCUUGAAAAUUAUGUUUUCUUGUACAGGGGAGAAGAGGUAAGGGGUAGCUCUAAUGUGUUGGCUUCAUUCACAGAAGAAACAUUUUUAUAAACAGUUAAGUGAUGCCAGCUUUCUGUUGAUGCCAUCAGAUCUUGCAAGCAAAAAAUAAGUUAAUUUCAAUAUCAGUUGAUAUUAUUUCAUUCAACCUAUGUAAUAAAGACUCUGUCUCCAUUUUUGAUGUCUGAUUACUGCUGGCUUUUAAGUUUCAGCCCUCCCAUUUCCUCUCUUGCUCCACAUGUAGGCAAAG